UCACAACCUGGAUGCUGUCUGGUUCCUCUUCGCUGGAAACCUGCCUGCUUCAUUCUCUGGUUGCUAUGGAGUCACUCGCUGCCUUUCAAUCUCGAGAUGUCUGACUUCCUUGGCCACUUCUACCUGCGGCAUUUGAUUCUCAUGUUGAUGCCUCUGCUCUCAGCACUGUGACUUGAAGCCCUGUGUCCCAGCUCCUCAGUACUGCUCCUUUCCAGCUUCUGGAUCCAUGUUUCACUCGUUAGUGUAAUGGCGUUAUUAGGCAGCACUCAGCCAUGUUAGGCUGCAGAGCAAAUGUUACAAGGGGACCCUGUUUGAAAGAGAUGUGCAUUCCUUGGGAGAUGAGGCCAUGCAUUUCUAAGCAAAGUGCCAAAAUGAAGCAUGAAGAAUGUGAGGAUAUUCCACAGGCUGUGGUAGCAACUGUUUUCAGUAUGGGGCAAGGAUCAGUAUUUCAGCCUCUACCUUCCAGUGAAUGAAAGGGGAUUUCCUCCAUGGUCCAGCGCAGUGCCCAAGGAUUGCCUCCAGAUCAGGGAGACAUUGCUCAGCAAAGUAGAAAGACAGCUUUGUUUCUCCGGAGUCUUUAAACUCAUUGUGCCCAGAGGGAGGUGGGUGGCUUCGCUGCCACCACCUCGGGGCAGAAUGAGCAGCACUUGCUGUGGGUCCCUGUUUGCUGUGUUAGAGGCAAGUGUGUGCAUGUGUCUGUGCACGUGUCUGUAUGCUGACCUGCAAGCUGGCAAAUGUUCCCUUUGUUACAGAUUCUUUUGGUCACUGGAGUCUCUCUUCACGCCAACCACUACAGCUGAGAAAAUCACACACAACAUCAGUUUCAGUAAUCUUUUUUUUCUUCAGUUUUAUUUGGAUUGUGAAUGAAUUGAACAUACAAGCAUUGCACAAGACUUGUGUUUUUCUUGUACUUGACAGGAUUUCAGUAAGCACAUGGAAUUUUUCAUGAACUGCUUGUUUCCUAUAUUCCAUAAAAUCUGAUGAAAAACACCCCCCCCCAAAAAAAAAAAAAAAAAAAAAAAGUAAUUUUCAGUAAACCAUAAAAGUAGUUGCUACUUUUGUGAACAGAAUUAAAAAAAAAAAAAAAAAAAAAAAAAAAAAUCUCACAAUCACACUGCUUGAGAGAGCUAUUAGGUACCUUUCCAUGAAUGUGCAGUUCAGUAUUUUUACAUAUCUGUACACAGUUCAACAUACUUUACACAUUUUAUUAAUGCCUUUGAAAUAUUUACCCUUAAAAUUAUUGCUAAAUCCGACUGUGCCAAGCUAACAUCUAGAUAAACAAUUCUUGAUAUUAUUUUGUUGAAAAAUUGUACUCCUUUUUCCAGAAGGAAGGGUUGUUUUUACUGCAGAAAGAAAGAGCUCUCUUUCCUGCCACUUGGCUGGGACUAAUCUAACAUUAUAAUCCACACGGAAUUAAAUCCUUUGUAGAAAUGUUUAUUUAUAUGGAACAGACUGAGAAAGUCAUGCUAUGAAGAUGAAAGUACUGCACCUACAAGAACAUGCUCAAAGGAAUAUGCAUUACAGUGCUAGCAGAGAGUCCCUGGUUUGUCACAGAAUUUGCUAGUUCAGCAAAGGAUGUGCAAUAGCACAGGAAGUAAUGUUACCCUUCAAGCUAGCAGGAUUAUUAACUAUCUGUAAAUAUAUAUAUAUAAAUCAGCUUCAUGUUCAGAACUUAUGAGACUAAAAAAGUAAAAAUGUAAGUGUUCUUUACUCCAACUUUUUGCUACAAUGGUGAGAAAAAUAUUUCCAUUUGAUAUCGUAGCUGAAAUUCUAAAUUUCCAUGAAGUAUUGAA